ensembl:lncRNA
CUGCCCUCCACAGAACAUAAGAUACACUGGUGACAGACAGUCUGCUGUGCUGUCCUGGGAUCCAUCAGUGUUUGCCACAUGGUACACAGUCACCUCCGUAGUGGACGGAGUCCAUGGGACGCUUUGCAACACCACCGAGAUCUCCUGUGUUGUCUCCGACUUCAGUCCUAAUGCCACUGAAGUGACAGCUAGCAAUGAUGUAGGGGAGAGCAACCCCAACGGAAAUAUAACAGGUCCAAUGGGAGCUCGCAGAAGAAGAGAUCUACGGACCACUCAGGUCUUUGCUCGUUUAGAAGAAAAUCUUGAAAUGCCAGAAGAGCUGAUGGUAACAGCAAAAGGAGUUUCCUUGUAUGUGAAAUGGAAGGCAGUGAAAGGCGCAACUGAGUACACACUCGUCAUUAAUG